AGAAUCAACGCUGGCGGCGUGCCUAACACAUGCAAGUCGAACGAGAAAGUGGAGCAAUCCAUGAGUAAAGUGGCGACCGGGUGAGUAACACGUGACUAACCUACCUUCGAGUGGGGGAUAACCCCGGGAAACCGGGCUAAUACCGCAUAACAUCGCAAGAUCAAAGCAGCAAUGCGCUGGAAGAGGGGGUCGCGGCUGAUUAGCUAGUUGGCGGGUAACGCCCACAAGGCGAAGAUCGGUA
rnacentral:rRNA from 1 species